AAAAAAAAUGCUGACUUAAGUGCAGCGCCCAGCGAGCAAACAAAAGGGCAACGCCUCUCGUGAGAGUCCUGCAGCUGCCUUGGGACAGCACUAAAGUCUCUCAAAACGUGCUUUGUUGCAAUUCAGUAAUUAAUGUCCUGCAGCCACCGGACACAAUCGGUGUUUUAUUUGCAUCCUCCUCCCCAAAACAAAACCUCUCAUGUUCUCACAACACUCUUCGGAUAGGCCGAAUCUUGUGUUUGCAACUCUCACGCAGGAGCUGUUUCUGGCAUUUAAAACUUUUAGCUGCACAACCUUUUGGAUCGUUCGGGAAAGUGGCUUCUUAGUUCUGUCUAACUGUCGAUGCGGUGGUGCAGCAAAUUAAAACAUCAGCGUGUGGCCCAGAAAGUGAUUUCCAGCAUCUUCAGAAUUUUGCUGUUCAUCCAUGGCUUCAAGAAUUCACCGUAUGAAUUGAAGUCACAGUGGAGCCAUUGCAGCUUGCCAAAUCAUAUCCAAACAUCCCACCGGACUUGAAUUAGGUGAGCGUCAGUUUAUGACGUCAGUGCUAUCAAAGUGGGGACAUGAAACAAUCAAUCUCCAGAGAUUACCAUACUGCAGAAAAAAUUUGCGUAAAUAUUGAUUAUGUAAUAAACAAGGACCAGGAGAAUGACAUUUCAGAUUGUCUCAUCACAACAUCUUAUGCGAGGCACAUAUUCAGCAGUUCGUAUCCUGAACGCAUAUGGAUCAGUAUCUUAUUCUGGCCGUAUAAGCAACAACACUUAAGGGUUCCUAUGUCAUUCGUCCUACUCAUUGUGUAGGUCCAGUGCCUGAGCAUGCUACUUACAAUUUGCACCUUCAGCUGAAUAGCAUGCAUAAAAUGAGCAAAUGGCAAAAAACAAUACUAAAGCUAAAUUGAAAUUUAGGAAACAGUACUGGAAAAGAGAAGUGAGAACAGAAGAAAAGUCUCGGUACAGCAUUGACUGAGAGAUGUGGUCAUUACCGACUCGCUCACUUCCGCAUCACCAUCCCCCUCAACCACCAGCUGGGUUUCCUGCAGCUCAGAGCAACGGAUGAAAUAUGUGAGGAAGUGAAGCAAUCGCUGAACCAACUCCUGUCGUUUACCAAUCACCACAGUUCGGGCUAAUCUUACUGGAGAACCUAUUGCGCCAUGUAGAUCAACUGUCAGAAAAGUAAAUAACUAAAAUUAGAAGAAUACUCUCUAAUGUGAAGCUUUUUUUAGGGGAGGAGCAAAGGCAAAAGAAAUAUUUGAAUGAAGUGAAUAGAUUUCUAUGCUUGCAAAAUGAGCUCUUUUAUGCUUUCAGCAUGGGACUUGUUCCCACCUUGCGGAGUUAGCUCUAUGGAACACUAGUCAAUGCAAAGUAAAGGUUGCUUUAUUUUUCUUUACUCUGCCUACCUGAUACUGAAGACUCCCACCACGUUCAUUAUAGUC